rnacentral:rRNA from 1 species
ACGGAGGGUGCAAGCGUUAUUCGGAAUUACUGGGUUUAAAGGGUGCGUAGGCGGUUAUAUAAGUUGUCAGUGAAAGGCUACGGCUCAACUGUAGUAGUGCUGGCGAUACUGUAUAACUAAGAACAUGGGAGGGGUACCUGGAAUGUGUGGUGUAGCGGUGAAAUGCAUAGAUAUCACACAGAACACCGGAGGCGAAGGCGGGGUACUAGACCAUAGUUGACGCUGAGGCACGAAAGCGUGGGGAGCAAACAG